UACGAAGGGGGCUAGCGUUGCUCGGAAUCACUGGGCUUAAAGGGCGCGUAGGCGGCCAUCUAAGUCAGACGUGAAAUCCCUCGGCUCAACCGAGGAACUGCGUCUGAUACUGGAAGGCUUGAAUCCGGGAGAGGGAUGUGGAAUUCCAGGUGUAGCGGUGAAAUGCGUAGAUAUCUGGAGGAACACCAAUGGCGAAGGCAGCUCGCUGGGACGGUACUGACGCUGAGACGCGAAAGCGUGGGGAGCAAACAGG
rnacentral:rRNA from 1 species